rnacentral:rRNA from 1 species
GAUGAACGCUGGCGGCAUGCCUAAUACAUGCAAGUCGAACGAGAGGAAGGAAAGCUUGCUUUUCUGAAUCUAGUGGCGAACGGGUGAGUAACACGUAGGUAACCUACCCAUGUGCCCGGGAUAACUUCUGGAAACGGAUGCUAAAACCGGAUAGGUAGCAGACAAGCAUUUGACUGCUAUUAAAGUGGCUAAGGCCAUGAACAUGGAUGGACCUGCGGUGCAUUAGCUAGUUGGUGAGGUAACGGCCCACCAAGGCGACGAUGCAUAGCCGGCCUGAGAGGGCGGACGGCCACAUUGGGACUGAGACACGGCCCAAACUCCUACGGGAGGCAGCAGUAGGGAAUUUUCGUCAAUGGGGGGAACCCUGAACGAGCAAUGCCGCGUGAGUGAAGAAGGUCUUCGGAUCGUAAAGCUCUGUUGUAAGAGAAAAACGACAUUCAUAGGG